ensembl:antisense 1700060J05Rik RIKEN cDNA 1700060J05 gene
AAGAAAUGCUGAAUGGCAUGCUUAAGAAACUGGUUGUAGUCUAAGUCAUGUUCUCUACUGCUUCAGGGUGGAGAGCCUUCUUAUGACAUUCUUGAGGGUCAAACGCUGUGGUGCCCAGCACAUCAGAAGGACACUACCCACAAACAAUGUGCUUGAGGACAGACCUUGUAGGGAUGCUAUGAACUGGUUGGAGGACAUGAUUCCUUUUACAAUGAAAGUGUGAAAAGACUGUCUUACCGAGAUGGCAUGUGGACAUUGAUGGAAAUCGCCUUGUUUGUAGGCAAAAAACAACUCAAAACAAAACCAAAUAAACAAACAGAAAUAACAACAGCAAAGAAAGUACAGUCUGAGCAAGAGAAGAGAAAGUCCGCAGGACAGGACAGCAAUGUAAACAGAACAAUACUGUUUUUAAAAAAGGAGGAAUAUGAACUUCAGCAAGCUGAAAGGAACUCUCAUGAUCACCUUCUAGAAUGAUCGAAAUGACCUGCCAGUUCAAAGUCACCCCGACGUGUCCCGUGGGACGAGAACUAAAUACUGACAGCAAGAAAACCAGCUUUGACUCGGAGGCGAGUGUCCCCCCAGCCCGAGUGCUGGGCAGGCCGCUGUUCCUUUCAGCUCACUUUCACAGAUGGUAGUCUCAGCUGUGACAGGACCUCUGCCAUCCAAGUGAUGGGUAAGCAGGCAAACAGAAAGAGCAGCAUGUCCUGCGUGAUACAGACAACCAAGGCUUCUCCAGAGGAUGUGCAGUCAGUGAAGACACAGACAGAGAAGAAGUGAAAGGGAAAGUCGUGGAGGGCGGCCGCCUCCUCCUCACCACCUACCAUCGGCUUUAGCUCUCGGGCGUCCGCAGCGCCUCCUUUGCCGGCUUCUUUCAUUGCUUUCCUACUGUUUUCCACAAACUCCUGCAAAACAUGGAGUGCACGGCAUUAACUGGGGAUCUUCUUAGGUUUCAGUCAGUAGGUGAACUUUAAGGAUCCAACCUUAGUGUGGUCAACAGUACUCUGAAGGAAGAUUGGCUGGGAUGGAUUGCAAUCCGUAGAUAUAAAACCUUCCUUCCAUC